ACAGGCUCAAACUCCUCUUUCUGUCCCUCCUGUGCUCACGGAGAGCAAAAUUGGUGGUUUUUAUUUAUCUGUUUAGUCAAGCAAGCGGUAAUGUCCCACGCCAGUUCUUCAGCUUUUCAAAAUCAAAUCUUGGAAACAAAUGCUUUUCCAAAUAGAAGAUAAAAAAUGGACCCAGCAGUUUUGUUGUUGUUAAUCACUCUAGCUGUGCAUACUUUCCUGGUUAUCCAACAAACAUGUUAAAUUCAAUGGGGGGAAGAAAUUGGUCUAUGCCCUCAAAUAGUUUAUAAUCUAGUUGGUCUUGUCCGGGUGUGAUUGUCACGGUAUGUUAUGGGAGGCAGGAUCUAAUAAAUGUCCUUGGGGAAGAACAAACAAAAUGUGAGGGGAAUUCAGUCAAGAAAAAAAUUGAACGAUGUUGUGGGAUUAGGGAAAUGAAAGAAAAAUUCCAUUGUGCAUAAAAUGCAUCUCAUCUACUUACAUGUUAUCCUGGAUUUUUUUUUAGGGUACUUUUUUUUUUUAACUUUUAUCCCACCUCUGAUAUUCAUUCUGCCCUUGUGCCUUAUAUCUUUUCCUUUCAUUUGUUAGCUUCUUUCUUCCCCAGUGGUUUUGCCUGCUAAAAAUAGAUGAACAAUUGGUCUGAAGCUGCAAGGGAGCCAAGAUGAUGCAAAGGCUGUAGAAAAUCUAUGCCAUGGACCAUGAGCUGUGAGCUGACCUAGAUGCAAGAUGACCGAGGACAACAAAAUGUCUAAAUCAUUGUUCCAAGGACACGGCAAUAAACAUAUUUUCCAAAUGUGUUGGAGUAUGAGGUGCACAGGGACUUCACAGAAAAGAAAUGAAAACCCAAAGAAGUAGUUAGACCCGGGGGCUUACACGCCAUUUUAACAAAGGACAAUAAAUUGUCAAGAAGUGACUAGACAAGAGAAAGGGGCUUUGGGCUUCUUGGAGCUGAUAAAUUAUGGGAAGCAACACGGUAAGAUCUGCUCUUGGAUCUUGACAAAACUUCUACAGUCCUCAGGCCAGAGUCGAGCACAGAAAGCUUGGAACGGAGAUCUGUUAAUUUAUUGAUUGUUCUGACUGUGCUCAGAAGAAACACCACAAGCCCUCCCAUCUCUCCACCCUGCACGCCCCAGCCUCUGUUCCAUCUGUGCUCUUCACGUUGUUGCAAACACUACCUGCUCUACCACACUACCACUGCUGCCGGCUCCUCUGGCCACCGUUUCCUGCUCCUUUUAUGUGGUUUUGAUGUUUGCUGCUGGUACCCAGGGCUGCAGCUACCUUCUUUGGAGAGACCCAUCCAGAGCCUCAGCCUCUGACUAGUCUGCCCCCCACCCCCACAACUGCCCCGAGGCGUCCUCUGCUCCGUGCACAGUCCAGGAGCACCAGGCGCUUUCCAGCCCUGUCCCAAACCCGCAGAUCUCAUCUCCUCAUGUUCUUUGCGGGGAACUUCUGACCAAACUAACUGCUUCCGCCCAACUGAAACUCACAAGGGCGGUCACACUGAAAGGCCCUGAUGUGUCUAGAUGACUAUUCAGAACAGAACCCAAGCGAAGGGGUACACUUCCUGGCCUGAGGCAUAAACACCGCAUAUAUUUUUCCCUUUCGGAGGGCUAUUUUUCACGCUUGAAAUGAAGUGUGGUCAGAAUGUAUUCUCGUCUAGAAUCUUAGGUCAGUCAGGCAGAGGUUUGUCCUUCUCGUGUUUUAUACAUGUGCAUAAAAAUAGAGUAAACAACGCCUGCUGUUCAAUACAUAUUUUACACAUAUGUCAGAGAUGCAAUUCUAGAGCAGACUGCUUUGGGGGUGUUUGUGGUUGGUUUAAGGGUCAUGAAAAACACAGAAGAAAUCGUUUCUAAAAAUGAUCAGGAUUUCCAUUUGGAAGUUAUCAAGUUUGAAGAAUAAUAAACCACAGAAUGCUAAAAAUGUAGGGUGUUUUUUUUUUUGGUCUUAUUUAUGAGGACUCCUGUUUUUGUGACUUUUUUCCAAUGGACAGAAGAAUUAAGAGAAAUGUUGGAGACGGGUUAAACCUCACCUGUGGGACAGCUCUGGUAAAGGCCCUUUCCUGAAUGGGAUUCCCCAAGGCCUUGAA